rnacentral:rRNA from 1 species
UACAGAGGUCCCAAGCGUUGUUCGGAUUCACUGGGCGUAAAGGGUGCGUAGGUGGCGUGGUAAGUUUGAUGUGAAAGCUCAGGGCUUAACCCUGAAAUGGCAUUGAAUACUACUGUGCUGGAGGUUUGGAGGGGGGACUGGAAUUCUUGGUGUAGCAGUGAAAUGCGUAGAUAUCAAGAGGAACACCAGUGGCGAAGGCGAGUCCCUGGACAACACCUGACACUGAGGCACGAAAGCCGGGGGAGCGAACGGG